CUGGUGAGACAGAAGUGCCGGCGGUGUGGACGGCAAUCCUUGCCACCAAGGAGGGGAAAGGCUGCCUGAGAAUAAAGCCAGCCCUUGAGUAAACAGAGCCAAAAGCAAGAGAGCCCUUUUCCUGAUGAUAUUGCUUGGGCUCCUAGAUUCAGCCAUGUCUGAAGACUAACCUAUACUUUUCACUUUUGUGAAACAGUGGCUUCUCUUCUUGGGAGAAAAGGUCAUGUGAGGAGAGCAGGAAGAUGGCUUAUCUAUACACCAGGAAGAGAGCUCUCACCAGAACCCGACCACACUGGCACCCUGAGCUCAGCCUUCCAGCCUCCAGAAUGAUUUCUGCACUUUCGUAUACAUGGAAUCAACCCUACCACACAUUGUCUAACGUGACCACCUUCUUUCACUUAGCAUGACGCCUUCAAGGUUUAUCUCUGCUGCAGCGGUACUUCUUUCCUUUUCAUGGCUGAAUGACAUUCUACUGGAUGGAUAUUCCACACUUUUCUGUAUCCAUUCAUAAGUCGGUGGAUACUGGGUUGUUGCUUCUUUGGGGGCUGUUACGAAUAAUGCUGCAAUGAACAUU